rnacentral:rRNA from 1 species
UGAGGAAUAUUGGUCAAUGGACGAAAGUCUGAACCAGCCAAGUAGCGUGCAGGAUGACGGCCCUCUGGGUUGUAAACUGCUUUUAGUUGGGAAUAAAAAAGAGGACGUGUCCUCUAUUGUAUGUACCUUCAGAAAAAGGACCGGCUAAUUCCGUGCCAGCAGCCGCGGUAAUACGGAAGGUCCAGGCGUUAUCCGGAUUUAUUGGGUUUAAAGGGAGCGUAGGCGGAUUAUUAAGUCAGUGGUGAAAGACGGUGGCUCAACCAUCGUUAGCCAUUGAGACUGGUAGUCUUGAGUGCAGACAGGGAUGCUGGAACUCGUGGUGUAGCGGUGAAAUGCUUAGAUAUCACGAUGAACUCCGAUCGCGAAGGCAGGUGUCCGGGCUGCAACUGACGCUGAGGCUCGAAAGUGUGGGUAUCAAACAGG